rnacentral:tRNA from 1 species
GGCCCCAUCGUCUAGUGGUUCGGACACCAGGUUCUCAUCCUGGUAACCGGAGUUCAAUUCUCCGUGGGGUCA